rnacentral:rRNA from 1 species
UGGGGAAAUUUGGACAAUGGGGGCAACCCUGAUCCAGCAAUGCCGCGUGUGUGAAGAAGGCCUUCGGGUUGUAAAGCACUUUUGUCCGGGAAGAAAACGCACCUGAUAAUACCGGGUGUGGAUGACGGUACCGGAAGAAUAAGGACCGGCUAACUACGUGCCAGCAGCCGCGGUAAUACGUAGGGUCCAAGCGUUAAUCGGAAUUACUGGGCGUAAAGCGUGCGCAGGCGGUUGUGCAAGACCGAUGUGAAAUCCCCGGGCUUAACCUGGGAAUUGCAUUGGUGACUGCACGGCUAGAGUGUGUCAGAGGGGGGUAGAAUUCCACGUGUAGCAGUGAAAUGCGUAGAGAUGUGGAGGAAUACCGAUGGCGAAGGCAGCCCCCUGGGAUAACACUGACGCUCAUGCACGAAAGCGUGGGGAGCAAACAGG